UACGUAGGGUGCGAGCGUUAAUCGGAAUUACUGGGCGUAAAGCGUGCGCAGGCGGUUUUGUAAGUCUGUCGUGAAAGCCCCGGGCUCAACCUGGGAAUGGCGAUGGAGACUGCAAGGCUUGAAUCUGGCAGAGGGGGGUAGAAUUCCACGUGUAGCAGUGAAAUGCGUAGAGAUGUGGAGGAAUACCGAUGGCGAAGGCAGCCUCCUGGGCCAACACUGACGCUCAUGCACGAAAGCGUGGGGAGCAAACAGG
rnacentral:rRNA from 1 species